UGAAACACGGACCAAGGAGUCUAGCAUGUGCGCGAGUCAUUGGGAAUCACUAAACCUAAAGGCGCAAUGAAAGUGAAGGCCCGCCUAGCGCGGGCCGAGGGAAGAUGGGCGGUCACGGUUUCCGUGCCGCUCCGCACUCCCGGGGCGUCUCAUUCUCAUUGCGAGAAGAGGCGCACCAAGAGCGUACACGCUGGGACCCGAAAGAUGGUGAACUAUGCCUGGUCAGGACGAAGUCAGGGGAAACCCUGAUGGAGGUCCGUAGCGAUUCUGACGUGCAAAUCGAUCGUCGGAACUGGGUAUAGGGGCGAAAGACUAAUCGAACCAUCUAGUAGCUGGUUCCCUCCGAAGUUUCCCUCAGGAUAGCUGGCGCUCGUCGCCUACGAGUCUCAUCCGGUAAAGCGAAUGAUUAGAGGCAUUGGGGUCGAAACGGCCUCAACCUAUUCUCAAACUUUAAAUGGGUGAGAUCUCCGGCUUGCUCGAACUUAUGAAGCCGCGAGACACGGAUCAGAGUGCCAAGUGGGCCAUUUUUGGUAAGCAGAACUGGCGCUGUGGGAUGAACCAAACGCCGAGUUAAAGCGCCUAAAUCGACGCUUAUGGGAUACCAUGAAAGGCGUUGGUAACUUAAGACAGCAGGACGGUGGCCAUGGAAGUCGGAAUCCGCUAAGA
rnacentral:rRNA from 2 species